rnacentral:lncRNA from 1 species
AACAUAGAUAGCUAGUUAUUUGAUAAAAUAUGGCAUGAUAAAAAUGCAGUACUUGACAAUAUGAUCUACAAGAUAAAACUAAAGCUGAUAAAGAUAGCUAGUUAUUCGAUCAAAUAUGUCAUGAUAAAAAUGCAGUACUUGACAAUAUGAUCUGCAUGAUCAAACUGAAGCUGAUAAAAAUAGCUAGUUAUUCGAUAAAAUAUGUCAUGUGUUCUAGGAUAUUCUCUAUGUGUGCCUUGGUCUUAUGCCAAUAAGAUAUGUAGUUAGACUAGAUCUAUGUAUUCAUAUCCUUACCAUAUUGGUAUUGUGUAAUUCCCUAUAUAAAGGGCUUCUAUCAAUGAAUAAGAUGACUCUCUUGCUAUCUCUUUGUCUCUACACUUUAUUCUUCAUCACGUUAUCAUGCACUUUGUUCUAACCCUAGAGCCAAUAGCCCACCAUUUUUUUUUCCAAACCCUAAAAACCAAAACCCUAAAAUCGGGCAGCCUUGUUUUUCCCGAUUUCCGACCAAAAUUCCGACUGCCCUCCGCCGGAAUUUUAUAUCCCUAGAAAGCUCUUUCCGUCACGGAUCCAACGCCGCCGGCCUCACCCUGAGAACCGGCCGGAAAGUCUCCGAACCGGCCGCCGGAAAAUUCCAGACAGCCGCCGCUACAGACCACCGGUUCACCACCUUCCCUUGCUCCGAUCAACCUGAAAUUUUGACAGAAGCUUCCCCAUCCAGAGUUGCUCCUCCUAUCAAAUUUUCAGCCCCAAAUUCGAAGUAUAAGUAGGCGAAACGUUAUUUCUCCUCUCGGCAGCCUUUAGAAAUGUAUGUUUUGAAACCUUAAACUCUUCCAAGUUCAAUAACUCGGGGAGGAUAAAAUCAUUUCCUCCCUUCUCUAUCUCCAUUCUAUGCUUGGGAUUUUGUGUGUGCAGGUACCAAAAAUCCCGGAAUUUUAUUCGCGGGUCAAGAGUAUGUUGGAUCACUCUUGUUUCUUUGUCCGGGUUGUGUUUGAUCAACCCCGACCUUUCACCGGAUUGUGUUUGAUCAAUCCGAGGCCUUUUUCCGAUUGUGUUUGAUCAAUUCGAGGUCUUUUCCGGAUUGUGUAUGAUCAAUCCGAAGGACAAACCAUUAAAAGCAUCGUUUGUGACCU